CAGAGUGAAUGAAGGCAAUAAAUAUAAAAAAGGCUAAAACUAACACUGCGCUGGGUGUUGAGCAUUAGAAUACAACAUAGAUGUUAAAUGGAAGGAAGUGAAAGUGAUUAUGGCGAAAUGAUCUACCACCACCAGAGGACAGCACAGGAUUUGAGGCAUGAAUUUGGCAGAUUGCAAACCAGACUCGCUUCUGAGGUUCUCUCUCUACGUCCUAGACACAAUAUAUGCGUUCUCCUUGUCAUGUAUUCCGCUAUCGUUAUUAAAGUUUUCACUUUAGUUAUCUAUGUAAAAUUAAAUUAAUAGAAGGUUUUAGGACAAAAUCAUAGCAUCCUAAACACACUUCACGAUGAAACGCACCAGUCAUUAUAGUGAAGGGAUGAUUGAGGAACGAUUGAGAUACUUUAAAGAUGUAAAGAUUGUUUUAUUGUCUAAUAAUCAUGAAAGUUGUCUUUCUCACGCAUAGAAGUGGCCGAUAAAUAACUGGUAAAAUAGGCAAAACUUCGUAGUGUUUUAGAUGUAUUAGCGCCCUUUUCUUCCUACUGCAUACUGUGAAAAUGUCCAGUAGGGAAUUACGGGUUUAAUAUUUAUAUCCGUUUUUAAAUUUGUUUUAUAUCCACUCUUAGAUAUUUGAGCAAUUAUUUUAACAUUUAUAUAUAUAUUAUACUAAGCUUUUUAACUAUAAAGUAUAUAUUGCUUUGUAAUCGUACAUUUUUCCAAAUCAAUUUUUUAUGUUAU
rnacentral:lncRNA from 1 species